rnacentral:tRNA from 1 species
CAGUCGUGUAGCGGAGCGUAAAACCUUGCGGCGGUUUGGCUGCCGCCACCAGGAGCGGUUGUUCGAAUUCCGGCGCGACUGU